rnacentral:misc_RNA from 1 species
AGCAGCCGCGGUAAUUCCAGCUCCAAUAGCGUAUAUUAAAGUUGUUGCAGUUAAAAAGCUCGUAGUUGAAUUUCGGGAUCAGUUGGUCGGUCGUGCCUCGGUACGUACUGGUCAAAUUGAUUCCUACCUUCUGACGAACCACGAUGUCAUUAAUUUGGUGUCGCGGGAAAUCAGGACUGUUACUUUGAAAAAUUGAGUGUUUAAAGCAGGCUCGCGCUUGAAUACAUUAGCAUGGAAUAAUGAAAUAGGACGUUUGAUUCUAUUUUGUUGGUUUCUAGGAUCGACGUAAUGAUUAAUAGGGAUAGUUGGGGGCAUUAGUAUUCAAUUGUCAGAGGUGAAAUUCUUGGAUUUAUUGAAGACUAACUACUGCGAAAGCAUUUGCCAAGGAUGUUUUCAUUAAUCAAGAACGAAAGUUAGGGGAUCGAAGACGAUCAGAUACCGUCGUAGUCUUAACCAUAAACUAUGCCGACUAGGGAUCGGAUGAUGUUAAUUUUUAAUGACUCAUUCGGCGCCUUAAC